rnacentral:lncRNA from 1 species
AUGACAAGGAACAUGUCACCGGCGAGAAGGGCCGCGAGUGCCGCUUCCUCUGUGGGGACCGUCUCUGGGGAGGAGUUGUGUGGUCUGGGGUCUUCAUUCGAUGCUGCUGCUGUCCCCUUGUCCGAACGCUGUGCUGGAGAGCAGAGGGGAGGCUUCCUUGAGGUUGUUCAGGUUUCAGAAGUGACAGACGUGGAGGCGUCCCAAUUCCACUCGAGCCUCAGCCCCACAGGACAGCCUGGAAGACACGGAAGAGGGAGGGUGAGGCCCCACUGUAUGCAGGGUGUGCCUGUGUGGUUGUGUGUACGUGUAUGUGGUGUGUGUGUGGUGCGUGUAUGGAUGUGGUGCGUGUGUUGCUCGUGUGGUAUAUGUGGUUGUGAGUGUUAUGUGUGGUGCGGUUGUGGUGUUUGUGGUGUGUUGUGUGUGUGUGGUUGUGUAUGUGUGUAUCGUGUGCGGCGUGUGUGUGGCAUGUGGAGUGCAUGCAGUCCUAGGCCAGCUCAUCCCACGUCGAUUCGGGCACGCUCCAUUGUGAUCAAGAUACACAACUGUCCUGUGUCCAAAGGCCCCGCGAGGGGUGUAAGGGUCUGCAAGAUGCACGUGUGUCAUUCAGACUGCAGCGGCGUGCGGUGUGAGACGUGUGCAGCGCGUCUCGCUGAGCAAAUCCUUCCAGGGGCCACACUGGGCCUCUCCUGCCAGCCCCACCGCCUCGCCGCAGGAUGGGCCAGCGAGGCACCAGGUUGGGAGCCAAUCCACGGACCAGGGCCACACUCUCCACAGAGCCUCCUGCCUUCCUACAAGGAAGGUCAGCCUACCCAGUUGACCUUGCUGCCUGGAAAGGGCUGGGGGUGCAGAUGGAAGACAGGAUGGAAUGGCAGAGAGAGGGAACACAGGCAAGGGAGCUGGCGGUGGGGUCCCCAGACCGCACCCGCUGCCGUGUGUGCCCAUGGGACUUGCUGGAGGAGAUGUUCUGGAAAGAAGCUCAGGGCAGGGUGUGAGAUUCCCCGACUUCAGAGACACGUGGCUGUUGUAAGCCGACGUCAUGAGUCCUGGGGGUGGGAAGCCCAGGAGGACGGGGGAUAA